UCUCGGCUCUCUGGCCCUGGGACGGGGUUUUGGGGAUGUUCCCAGUAGUUGCUGAAACCAUUUGUUUCCGGGAUCCUCCCUGCUUCUCCCCUGCUCAGCACAGGCUGCCAGUGUACGCUUUUCCUUGUUGGAACGGAAAGAUGCUUCUGGCCUAGCUGACGAGCUCCAGGACGACGUCCUCCGAUCACUGUGGGGAGGCCACCUGCUGUGCUGGGAGGACGCUCAAGCAGUGUUGUACAGAAGCGAGGCCUCUGGCCAACACCAGGAGAGGAGAAGACUCCUGCCAAAGGCACGUCAAGGAGCCGCCAUCGGGUUCAGGAGCCCUCAGCUCCAACUGACACCACUCCCCCUCCGUGACAGAGCCUGCACCAGAGUGACCCAGGCGAGCCACUCUUGUUCCCUUGACCCACCGGAAUGAAGACAAAGUAUGUUGAUUUCAUAUUCAAAUGAAUUAUGCCCAGGAUAAUCCUUGUUUAUACACAGAGUUCAGAGACUGAAAAAGAGAAGCAGAAAGCACAGUUCCUAUCCAGGUUUGCUCAU